rnacentral:rRNA from 1 species
CAUUAAAAAGUUAAUUGUGAAAUUCAAUUUAAUUUGAAUAUAUAUGAUUAUUAAAACAUUUUUAAAUAAAAUAUUUUUUAGUUUUAUUAAAAUUUAAGAAAAAAUUAAUUAUAAUUAUAGUAAAUUAGUAUAGUGAUAGAAAUGUAUUUAUAUGUUUAUAAGAAUAAUUUAUUUUUAGUACCUUGGGUAUCAGGGUUUAUUAAUUAAAUUUUAAAUAAGUUAAAUUUCUCGAUUUUAAAAGAGUGAAUUAUUUAUAAAUUUUAUUGUUAAAUAAAUAUUUAUCAUAAAUAAUUAGUAAUGAAACGUUAUUCGUUUUUAAAUAUAUCUAGUUUUUAAAGAAAAAAAUUUAAUUUUAUUUAUAAAAAUAUAUUAAUUUAAAUUAUUAAAUAAAAUAUUUUUUAUAAAUUAUAUUAUUAGGGAUUAGCUUAAUAAUAAAAUUAUUAUAAAUUAUUAUAAUUUAUUGAUAAAAUGUAGAAUUAGAAAUUUUCAACAUAUAGUUUGUUAUAAUUAAUUAUUUAUUGAUAAAAAUUUAUAUAAAUUUUAAUUUUUUUUUAUUUAAAUAUUUAAUUUAAUUUUAAAAAUUAAAGUAAUAAUGAUAAAAUUAGUAUAAUUAUUUGUAUUAAAUAUUUAUAAAUUUAAUGUUAUAAAAAGGAACUCGGCAAAUAAAUUUUUCGCCUGUUUAUUAAAAACAUGUCUUUUUGAUUAUAAUUUAAAGUCUAACCUGCCCAAUGAGUAAUUAAAUGGCCGCAGUAUUUUGACUGUGCAAAGGUAGCAUAAUCAUUAGUUUCUUAAUUAGAAGCUGGAAUGAAAGGUUGAACGAAAAAAUAACUGUCUCUUUAUAAAUUUUUUAGAAUUUUAUUUUUAAGUUAAAAAGCUUAAAUAUAUUUAAAAGACGAGAAGACCCUAUAGAGUUUUAUAUAAAUUUUUAUAAUAUAAAUUAUUUUUAAUUUUAAAAAUUUUAUAAUAGUUUAUAUUUAGUUGGGGUGAUUGAAAAAUUUAAUAAACUUUUUUUUUAUAAAAACAUUUUUAUAUGAUUUAUUGAUCCAUUAUUUAUGAUUAAAAGAUUAAAUUACCUUAGGGAUAACAGCGUAAUUUCUUUUUAGAGUUCAAAUCGAUAAAGAAGUUUGCGACCUCGAUGUUGGAUUAAAAUAUAGUUUUGGUGUAGAAGCUAAAAUAUUAGGUCUGUUCGACCUUUAAAAUUUUACAUGAUCUGAGUUUAAACCGGUGUAAGCCAGGUUGGUUUCUAUCUUUAAAUAAUUAAAAUAUUUUAGUACGAAAGGACCAAAUAUUUAAAAAAUUUUUUAAAUAUUUGAAUAAUAAUAAUUGAUUAUUUUGGCAGAUUAGUGCAUUAAAUUUAGAAUUUAAUUAUGU